GAGCUGCCGCCGAGGAGUCCCGCCCCAGCCUGCGUCGGCCAGUAGCUCGGUCGCUGCUCUUUUCCAGGCGGGUUAGCCCUACCAGGAGGAACCGAAGACAGAAUACUGGCUGGCUGGCCCUCCCAGCGCUCGCAGCCGCGCCAUGCUCGUCCUCCGAAGCGGCCUGACUAGAGCUCUGGCUGCGCGGACGCUCGCGCCUCAGGUGCACUCAUCUUUUGCUACGGGCCCAAGACAAUAUGAUGGAACAUUCUAUGAAUUUCGUACUUAUUAUUUUAAGCCCUCAAAGAUGAAUGAGUUUCUGGAAAACCUUAAGAAAAACAUACAUCUUCGGACAGCUCACUCUGAAUUGGUUGGAUCCUGGAGUGUAGAAUUUGGAGGCAAAAUGAAUAAAGUGUUUCAUAUUUGGAAGUAUGAUAAUUUUGCUCACCGAACUGAAGUUCGGAAAGCCCUGGCCAAAAAUAAAGAUUGGCAACAAUUUCUCAUUCCAAAUCUGGCUCUCAUAGAUGAACAAGAGUUUGAGAUUACUUACCUGGUGCCAUGGUGCAAAUUAGAAAAGCCUGCAAAAGAAGGAGUCUAUGAGCUGGUUAUUUUUCAGAUGAAACCAGGUGGGCCAGCUCUGUGGGGUGACGCAUUUAGAAGGGCACUUAACGCCCAUGUGGAUCUAGGCUACUCAAAACUAGUCGGAGUUUUCCACACAGAAUAUGGAGCACUCAACAGAGUUCAUGUUCUUUGGUGGAAUGAGAGUGCAGACAGUCGUGCAGCUGGGAGACAUCAGUCUCAUGAGGAUCCCAGAGUUGUGGCAGCUGUUCGGGAGAGUGUCAAUUACCUCGUGUCUCAACAGAAUAUGCUUCUGCUUCCUACAUCAUUUUCACCUUUGAAAUAGUUUUCCACUGAAAGACAAAGCAUUGCAUUAACUGCUAUAAGAUGUGUCUGCUAAUGGUGCUUAAAUUCUCCCAAGAGAUUCUUUUAUUUGGAAGAUGUGUUGGACGCAACUGACCACCUUCGCCUUCCUGAAACACUGGAUUCUGAGCUUCGAUAUAUGGCAUCAUACUCAGAUUUUCCUCCUCACUGGCCAGUCCCUGUUCCUUUGCUGGCUUCUCUCUAAAUAUGGGAAGGAUGUCAGAGCACAGGAAUAUUUUCUGUCUUCAUUUUCUUUAUAGGUCAGUCCCAAGGCUUAAAUACCAUACAUGUGCUGUGCUGAUGUUUCACACAUUUUUACCUUCUUUCCCAUCAUUGUUCCUGAGCACCAGACUGAAAUAGCAGCCAUAUUUUAACACAACCACCCACUUAGUUUGGGUCACAAACCUUAAUAGCUCUCUCCCCCUCAAUCCCCACAUGGAUCUUGUCAACAGUGCCUUUGGCUCUGUCAGUAAAAGAGAUCCUAAACAUUCCUAUUCCUCCCAAUAUCGCUUUGCCUCCCUACUGUCCUUUCUCCCCAUACAACCACCUUUUUUUCUGAACAGCGAUUAGAUCAAACCAUUACCUUGUUUAAAACUCUCCAGUGGCUUCUCAUUGCACUAACAAUAAAAUCCAGAUACCUUACCAUGGCCUGCUAGGCCCUAUAGGUUCUGGUUUCUGCCCCUUCUACCAGUCCGGAGACAUUGGAAUUCUCUCCCUCCUUCCCCAACUUGCCAAGUUUUUUCCCACCUGGGGCCUUUGUCACCAGGUGUUCCUUCUUCCAGGAAGGUUCUCUCUGCCCACCUUCAAAUGUUGGCUCCUGCUUAUUUUAUGAGAUAUGAGCUUAAAUGUCACUCUUCAGAUGGCUGCCUCUCCAUCGUUACCUCAUUGCCAUGGCUUAUUUUCUUCUUAGCACUUACUGUGGUCUGAAUUUAUUGUAUUUGUCUACAUAUCCAUCGUGAAUGCGAAUAUAAUUUCUCCACUGAAAUUUUAGUUCAUUAGAGCAGGAACUCUGUCUUCAACACUGCAUCCCCAGAACCUAGAAAGGUAUAUGGUGCACAACAGAGUUUAAUAAAUAUUUGUUAAAUUACGAUUCCAGACUAAUUUUAUGAGGGCAAUCUUAACUGAUACACCACCUCACCAGAAAGAACUCUCUGCCAUUUCAAUAGUGGUCUAAACAAGUUAUUUAUCCACUAAGCCACACAAUUUCCCCAUAUAUCAAAUGGUAUUGCUUACCCCAUAGGGCAGACAAGUAAUUGAGGAUUACAUUAAGUGUCUGACAACACAGUAAAACACUAGAAAAAGCUAAUUUUCUUAUACUUUUUCAUAUGUAAUAUAUGCAUUAACAUUUUAAAGUUUCCGAGGUUUUUUUGAACCUUCAAGUAUUUAUUUAGGCUUUUCUCUAUAUAGAAGAUUUUCCUCAAGACCCACGGGUAACUUACAUUAUCUAAGUUACUUGCCUUUUCGUUUUUCAGUAGUUUUCUUCUCUCCCUCAGUGGUCAUUUUCCACAAAGAAACUGUUCUCUAGCAUUUCACUUAAGUUGUGGUAAUGUGAACAUUAAGAGGGAAAGACAGAGCUGUGACGCAGAGGCUGAGUGGUCUAGAAGGCUCCGUCACAAACCGACCAAGACCCUCCUCUGCACACAGCCAGAUGUGCACCUUAGCAAAGGACCGCUCACUACCCGUUGUCCCAGCCAUUCUGAGGAGGUCCCACAUAGGGCCAUGACUCCACCGUGCAGCCUACCAGCGGGUGUUUGACAGACGUUCUUCACGUUAGUGAGAUAAGCAGACAACUUUUCUGAGAUUUUGCUAGUGAGCUAUUAAAACUAUAUCCAUGUGUGUCAUCAGAGCCUACAUAACCUUGGCUUGCGAUUGCACAGCACUUCUUACAGAAGGAAGGCACCUCUGAUGUUCCUCUACUGUUUCCACGUUUCUGCACACUCCCCCAGGCCACAUGCCCAGGACAAUUGCCACACUCUGUCCUUGCAUUUUCAGUUGAAUCCGCAAAGGACAACUGAAGGCAGCCAUUGUAGCUUCUAUACCAAAUAAAGCAGUGAGACUUUUAUUAAACAGGUUUAGCUACACAGUGUUUUCAGAGAUCUCUAUAGCUUCGAAAUCAUUAAGCUUUUAUCUAAAACCUCUUAAACUUAAUAUUUACUAUCUUAACCAAAUUAUGAAAGUGCAAACACCCUUUAUUUCCAAGUAGUCCCCUCAGCCCUCUUUCCAACAGGACAUUUAGCCUGUUCUACUACAGGCGGACAUUUCUUACUCUCCUGAUGGCUUUAUAAGCAUUAACAGUAGGUGGUGCUACAGAUGCAUGGAAAUAAAUUUGCAUAGACCAGCAGAACUGCCACAGCUUUAUUUCGUGACUCAUUACAACAUAGAAAUAUGUUUUUUUAAUACUUCAUAUAAAGUUAUUGACAUACAAAAUUUUUUUCUUUUUUUUCCUUUUAAUGAAAAUGAUUUAACUUAGAAAUCUGUUGUGAAACUUUUGUCUAGUUUUGCAAUUCUCAGAUAUUCCAGUGCAAAAAUAGAUCCCAUUAGAGACAGCAUAAA